GCCUCGGUAGUCUAAUUGGCUAGAACACUUGCGCAUAAAGCAACUAAUCCGGGUUCAAUCCCAGCCGAGGUA
rnacentral:tRNA from 1 species